rnacentral:rRNA from 1 species
GACGGGACCGCACAAGCGGUGGAUGAUGUGGUUAAUUCGAUGACAACGCGAAAACCUUACCCACCUUUGACAUGUACGGAAGCCUUUAGAGAUAGAGGCGUGCUCGAAAGAGAGCCGUAACACAGGUGGCUGCAUGGCUGUCGUCAGCUCGUGUCGUGAGAUGUUGGGUUAAGUCCCGCAACGAGCGCAACCCUUGUCAUUAGUUGCUACAUUCAGUUGGGCACUCUAAUGAGACUGCCGGUGACAAGCCGGAGGAAGGUGGGGAUGACGUCAAGUCCUCAUGGCCCUUAUAGGUGGGGCUACACACGUCAUACAAUGGCUGGUACAAAGGGUUGCCAACCCGCGAGGGGGAGCCAAUCCCAUAAAGCCAGUCGUAGUCCGGAUCGUAGUCUGCAACUCGACUACGUGAAGUCGGAAUCGCUAGUAAUCGUGGAUCAGAAUGUCACGGUGAAUACGUUCCCGGGUCUU